CCUACGGGAGGCAGCAGUGGGGAAUUUUGGACAAUGGGCGAAAGCCUGAUCCAGCAAUGCCGCGUGAGUGAAGAAGGCCUUCGGGUUGUAAAGCUCUUUUGUCAGGGAAGAAACGGUGUUUUCUAAUACAGAAUGCUAAUGACGGUACCUGAAGAAUAAGCACCGGCUAACUACGUGCCAGCAGCCGCGGUAAUACGUAGGGUGCAAGCGUUAAUCGGAAUUACUGGGCGUAAAGCGUGCGCAGGCGGUUUUGUAAGUCUGACGUGAAAUCCCCGGGCUCAACCUGGGAAUUGCGUUGGAGACUGCAAGGCUAGAGUUUGGCAGAGGGGGGUAGAAUUCCACGUGUAGCAGUGAAAUGCGUAGAUAUGUGGAGGAACACCGAUGGCGAAGGCAGCCCCCUGGGUCAAGACUGACGCUCAUGCACGAAAGCGUGGGGAGCAAACAGGAUUAGAUACCCUGGUAGUCCACGCCCUAAACGAUGUCUACUAGUUGUCGGGUCUUAAUUGACUUGGUAACGCAGCUAACGCGUGAAGUAGACCGCCUGGGGAGUACGGUCGCAAGNUUAAAACUCAAAUGAAUUGACGG
rnacentral:rRNA from 1 species